GACGAACGCUGGCGGCGUGCCUAAUACAUGCAAGUCGAACGAAGCUGUUUUAACUGGUGCUUGCACCGACUUAAACAACUGAGUGGCGAACGGGUGAGUAACACGUGGGUAACCUGCCCCAAAGCGGGGGAUAACAUUUGGAAACAGAUGCUAAUACCGCAUAACCACAGAAACCACAUGGUUUCUGUGUCAAAGAUGGUUUCGGCUAUCACUUUGGGAUGGACCCGCGGCGUAUUAGCUAGUUGGUAAGGUAAUGGCUUACCAAGGCAAUGAUACGUAGACGAACGGAGAGGGUGAUCGGCCACAUUGGGAGUGAGACACGGCCCAAACUCCUACGGGAGGCAGCAGGAGGGAAUCUUCCACAAUGGACGAAAGUCUGAUGGAGCAACGCCGCGUGAGUGAAGAAGGUUUUCGGAUCGUAAAACUCUGUUGUCAGAGAAGAACGUGUGCGAGAGUAACUGCUCGUGCAGUGACGGUAUCUGGCCAGAAAGCCACGGCUAACUACGUGCCAGCCGCCGCAGUAA
rnacentral:rRNA from 1 species